CCUCUACUAUGAGAGAUGCUUCCAAAUGAAUUAUGGCCAGCAUAUUGCCCUAACAACUCUUCAUAUUGAAGGAGAAAAAUAGAUAACUUAUACCUUUUACCUUGCAGAUCAAACAACAUCUGCCACAGAGGAUCCAAGAAUUAAUAAAGGGGAAAAAAAUGCAUAUUGAAAUUAAUAGCCUCAAGAAUGGCAGUGUGAUUGUGAUCUUCAACAUUGUCAUGAAUAUAGGAGAAAAUAUAACAAAAACAGAGAUUUCAGAUGCUUUUACAGGCGCCCUUAAUAUGAGUACAGUAUUGCAAGCUGAUCUUACAAAAACCGUUAUAGAAGGUAUGAAUUUGUUCAUCACUAUGAAUUCAAGCAGUAGUGUAUAUUUCACUGAUGGUAACAUUCAGUGAAAUGGGAUUAAGGUGGGGAAAGGCAAUUGCAAAUAGUAUUCUGCACAUCUCUUUUUUCAAUGCUGACCUACACCCUUGUUCUUUUUCUGUUUUGUUUAACUUCAUUGUAGCAAGGAACAGUUGUCAGCCAGGAUUAAAUGACUGUUCCCAACAUGCUACCUGCACUGCUGAAGGAGCCACUUAUUCCUGUCAAUGCAACAAAGGAUUCACAGACAAUAGUCCCCAAGUUCCAGGGAGAGUUUGUAAGCAGAAUCUACCUUCAGGUAACUGCUUUUUGGUUUUUGUUUUGCUUUGCUUUGUUUUUUUCUUUAAAAGAAAAAAGCCUUAAGAAUUUGCAUUCUCUCUCCUGACCCUCCCUCAGCUAAUAGUUCAUUAUAAUUACUUACAUUGGCCUUUUAUGGUUGAGAAUGUUUUCCUAAAUAGUUAACCAUAGUAUUCAACCGAAGCAUAUUUUCUGGGCUUGUUUUUUCAAAACUGUUUAUGAAAAUAAAUAGCACAGACUUGGUGAAACUUUAAAAGAAAUUCUAUUCACUGACCUCAGAUUGCUAUUUUACAGAACAAAUGACUACAGUCCUUCCAAAAAAUACUACAGCUAUAUUUACAAGAUCCACAGCUAAUUCUGCUUUUACUACCACAUUUUCACCAGCACCUUGCAUGCCAGUGUCCAUCAAAGUUCAGAAUGUGACUGGGGAAGAAAUACAAUUCAGCUGGACCAGUGACAGGAGGGGAAGCCUCUACACUAUCUCCCUUGUGGAUGGAAACAAGGAGAUAAAUAGAACAACUACAAAAGAGACAAAAGCUGUAUUUAAACGUUUACUUCCCGGUCAUGUAUACACAGUGUUUGUGGCAGUAUCAUCUUGUGCUGAGAACAGUUGGACUUCAGUUCGUGUCCGAACAGAUCCUGUUUCCUGCUUCAACAGAACUGAGUUUUGCUUACCACAAAACACUGGCUGUCCUGACUUAAAAUACACUGUAUGCUCACAUUCCCAAGCAUUUGCCUGCAGUGUUUUGUUAAAAAGCCAGACAUUUAAUCAUGCUCUUUAUAACUCUGAUAGUGAAGGCUACAAAACAAUGUCUGAAAGUAUCAAAACUGAAGUUGUUAAAGAAAUGCGCAUUAAACUGAAAGAUGACCACUUCGAUAUCAUUAUGCUUGGAUUCAGACCUGGGAGUGUGAUUGCUUAUUUUAUUUCUCUACUGCAAAACCAAGAGCCCAUUGAUGUGAAUAUUAUUCAGGCACACUUAAAUCAAGUAUUCAGGAGCAAGUUUGGUGACCAAACUGAAGUAACUGUGAAAUCUCUGACUGCUCGGUCAUCAACUGGAAAUAGUUCCGCCUGGAAAGUGGCAGUGAUUGUCCUUGGAGUUUUACUUGGAGUUGCAUUAGUGCUGAUUCUUCUGGUAUCAUUGGUUUACAUCUACAUGAAGAAAAGAUCAGGGACCUAUGAAAGAGGGGUCUUGAACAUGACUUGCUCUCCCUUUUCUUCCAUGUAGUAUCAGCUUGGCUGUCCUUCUGCUGAGGUUUGGGUUAUGGAGUUACAGCUCACCUCACUGAUGGAAAGUCAGUGUGAUUAAUAUUUGUUAAACUUAUUUUAUGUGGGUUUUAAACAUAGCUAGCUCCUUUAUUCAUGGAGCCCUCACUUGAUAAUAUAUUGUCAGCAAAUGCAAGUUCUCCAGUGAGCUAUGUGUUGAAAAUACGAAUGUGUGCUCUUGCUUAUGUUAAUUCUGUUUUCCUUCUUUUUUUGGGGUGGGUCUACUUUGAAUAUCAAACGCAUUGUUAGUAAAACCUUUCUGAUGUCCUUGCAAAUAAUGUUGAAAUAAAGACCAUGUACAGCAGGCUUGUACUAUGGAA
rnacentral:lncRNA from 1 species